CCUACGGGUGGCAGCAGUGAGGAAUAUUGGUCAAUGGGCGCGAGCCUGAACCAGCCAAGUAGCGUGAAGGAUGACUGCCCUACGGGUUGUAAACUUCUUUUAUAAAGGAAUAAAGUGAGUCACGUGUGCCUUUAUGUAUUUACUUUAUGAAUAAGGAUCGGCUAACUCCGUGCCAUCAGCCGCGGUAAUACGGAGGAUCCGAGCGUUAUCCGGAUUUGUUGGGUUUAAAGGGAGCGUAGACGGGUUGUUAAGUCAGUUGUGAAAGUUUGGGGCUCAACCGUAAAAUUGCAAUUGAUACUGGCAGUCUUGAGUAGAGUAGAGGGAGGUGGAAUUCGUGGUGUAGCGGUGAAAUGCGUAGAUAUCACGAAGAACUCCGAUUGCGAAGGCAGCUUACUAGACUAACACUGACGUUGAUGCUCGAAAGUGUGGGUAUCAAACAGGAUUAGAUACCCGAGUAGUC
rnacentral:rRNA from 1 species